GACACGGUUCUGGAGAUCUGGAAGGGUGCAAAAUACCAGGCUGAACUGAGCAGGAUGACCCAGGCCGGGCACAGGGUCCUGCUCUCUGCCCCCUGGUACAUCAACCACAUCAGCUAUACGGCCAGGACUGGCGCGAAUCCUACGCAGUGCGGCCCCAGAAUUUCUCCGGCACAGAUGAGCAGAAGAAGUUGGUGAUUGGUGGAGAGGUCGCCAUGUGGGGUGAAUAUGCGGACGCCACCAAUCUGACCCCACGCCUGUGGCCGAGAGCCUGUGCUGCAGCGGAGAGAUUGUGGAGCAAUGAAGAAAAAACCCUGAACACUGAUCUGGCCUUCCCACGUCUGCAGGAGUUUCACUGUGAACU